CCUCAUUAUCUCCAAGCUGGGCGGGUACUAAUUCAAACGACACAUUGUACUGUGAUUGGUUUCCUGUUUGUACUGUACCUGUAUUCCAUCAGGUCCAUAGGGGGCUGUCCUUGGACCUGAGGAAUUGCAUAAAUUGCCAUGUUUGUGUGCCAGUAAGGCCAGUUCGUUUUGACCCUCAACUUGCAGCAUCGAUUCAUGUUGUAGGGAUCCGGGAUAUUGAUGCUUAUACAGCUUUUGGGAUACUCUACACUUGCAGCUUUUAUCGAAGGAACUCCGUUCGACCCUCUUACUGCGGGAACCAGGACAUCCAAGCGAUCAACCCCCCCUGCUAGACCGGGGGCAAUCGUAACAGGGACCAAAUAGGAGACUGUGACAACAGUUAGACAUAUGGCAGUUCAGGACCCACAGAC